rnacentral:rRNA from 1 species
AGAGCGAACGCUGGCGGCAUGCUUAACACAUGCAAGUCGCACGGGCAGGGGCAACUCUGUCAGUGGCGGACGGGUGAGUAACGCGUAGGGAUCUAUCCUUGGGUGGGGGAUAACGGUUGGAAACGACUGCUAAUACCGCAUGAUAACUGAGGUUUAAAGGCGCAAGUCGCCUGAGGAGGAACCUGCGUACGAUUAGCUAGUUGGUGGGGUAAAGGCCUACCAAGGCGACGAUCGUUAGCUGGUCUGAGAGGAUGAUCAGCCACAUUGGGACUGAGACACGGCCCAAACUCCUACGGGAGGCAGCAGUGGGGAAUAUUGGACAAUGGGCGAAAGCCUGAUCCAGCAAUGCCGCGUGUGUGAAGAAGGUCUUCGGAUUGUAAAGCACUUUCGACGGGACGAUGAUGACGGUACCCGUAGAAGAGCCCGGCUAACUUCGUGCCAGCAGCCGC